AAGUCGUAACAAGGUUAAAUAUCGAUGUAGGUAAAAACCACCUCCGAAGCCUUGAACUCUAGUCUAUUCUUAAUAGGCUACACCGGUCUGUUGCUAGGCCUAGCAUUUAUAUCAGUUAAAUGUUUAACUAGCAGUCGUUUAUACGAUUCACAGGUCAAACACCGGUGGUGAGCAAAUUCGCGAAUUUAGAUAUGAUCGGUCAGUCUUUGUUAAGAAGUUUGAUAAACGUUCCGUAGGUGAACCUGCGGAAGGAUCAUUAUUGAAUGAAUCGGGGGACUGUUGCUGGCCCGUCAAAGGGCA
rnacentral:misc_RNA from 1 species